rnacentral:lncRNA from 1 species
GCCGAAAAUUAGCAUAAUAAAUACAAUAAUAAAUUUUAAACAUUACAAAAAAAAAUUAAGCAAAGUACUAAAUAAUUAGUUAAGAUUAACAUCUAUUUUAGCAGUAGCAAAAUAGUUGAUUUGUAAUGAAUGAAAAUAUAUAAUAUGCAUCAUUUUGUCAUACAAUGUACAAUUACUGGACAUCACAUUGUUGUACUAGUAUUAUUCUCAUACGAUUAUAUUAUAACAAUAAUUAAGAGUCUCCCAUAUAUAAAAGAACAUUUUACAAGGCUGGAAGAUCAACACGAACAUUACAAUAUACGCCAUUUUCAUUUUGUUGUUAUUUUAUUACAUAUUUGGUUUUUUUUUUAUUUAAGUGAUAAAGAUUAUAAUACAAUGGUGAGUAUUGUACCCCUUUUUACCUUUCUAUUAUUACGUCUAUUUGUUUUGUUCAUAUAUUGUUGUAAAUGAAAUGUAACUUUAUUCGACUUUCCUAUAAGUUAGAGGUUAAAAAAUCAGGUUUAAUGCAUCAGUUUUACAUACGGAAACUCCCGUGUUGUUUUCCAUUGGUGUGGUGUGUUUGAGCUUUUGAUACGUCCAUUUGAUAAGGGACUUUCCGAUUUGGAUUUUCCUCGGAGUUUGGUAUUUUUGAUACUGUAGUUUUACCAAUAUGAAAAAUAAGACUACGAUCUCACCUUAAUGUUUCAAAACUACACUGAGUUCAAUCAGGAGAAAGUCAGUUAAUCUAAAUAAAACUAAAUAAAAAUUGAUUAUCGUAUAGGUAAUACAUAUAAAUAAAUAUAUAUCUAGGAAUUAAGAACUUUGUUGAUAAAAUAUUUUCAAAAAUGGUCAUAUCAGUUAUAUUUGAACUUGGGAGAAGUCGAAAAGACAAUAAAAACUUGGCAAAUCAAAUAUCUCUCCAAUUAGAAAAGAACUGUUACAAUUUAAAGACAUAUGAUAUCAAAAUUGUUUUUUUCCCUCUAAAUCCUUUGUUUGAUUACAAAAGGUAAAACCU